rnacentral:rRNA from 1 species
UUAAGCGACUAAGCGUACACGGUGGAUGCCCUGGCAGUCAGAGGCGAUGAAGGACGUGCUAAUCUGCGAUAAGCGUCGGUAAGGUGAUAUGAACCGUUAUAACCGGCGAUUUCCGAAUGGGGAAACCCAGUGUGAUUCGUCACACUAUCAUUAACUGAAUCCAUAGGUUAAUGAGGCGAACCGGGGGAACUGAAACAUCUAAGUACCCCGAGGAAAAGAAAUCAACCGAGAUUCCCCCAGUAGCGGCGAGCGAACGGGGAGCAGCCCAGAGCCUGAAUCAGUGUGUGUGUUAGUGGAAGCGUCUGGAAAGGCGCGCGAUACAGGGUGACAGCCCCGUACACAAAAAUGCACAUGCUGUGAGCUCGAUGAGUAGGGCGGGACACGUGGUAUCCUGUCUGAAUAUGGGGGGACCAUCCUCCAAGGCUAAAUACUCCUGACUGACCGAUAGUGAACCAGUACCGUGAGGGAAAGGCGAAAAGAACCCCGGCGAGGGGAGUGAAAAAGAACCUGAAACCGUGUACGUACAAGCAGUGGGAGCACAGAGCAAUCUGUGUGACUGCGUACCUUUUGUAUAAUGGGUCAGCGACUUAUAUUCUGUAGCAAGGUUAACCGAAUAGGGGAGCCGAAGGGAAACCGAGUCUUAACUGGGCGUUAAGUUGCAGGGUAUAGACCCGAAACCCGGUGAUCUAGCCAUGGGCAGGUUGAAGGUUGGGUAACACUAACUGGAGGACCGAACCGACUAAUGUUGAAAAAUUAGCGGAUGACUUGUGGCUGGGGGUGAAAGGCCAAUCAAACCGGGAGAUAGCUGGUUCUCCCCGAAAGCUAUUUAGGUAGCGCCUCGUGAAUUCAUCUCCGGGGGUAGAGCACUGUUUCGGCAAGGGGGUCAUCCCGACUUACCAACCCGAUGCAAACUGCGAAUACCGGAGAAUGUUAUCACGGGAGACACACGGCGGGUGCUAACGUCCGUCGUGAAGAGGGAAACAACCCAGACCGCCAGCUAAGGUCCCAAAGUCAUGGUUAAGUGGGAAACGAUGUGGGAAGGCCCAGACAGCCAGGAUGUUGGCUUAGAAGCAGCCAUCAUUUAAAGAAAGCGUAAUAGCUCACUGGUCGAGUCGGCCUGCGCGGAAGAUGUAACGGGGCUAAACCAUGCACCGAAGCUGCGGCAGCGACGCUUAUGCGUUGUUGGGUAGGGGAGCGUUCUGUAAGCCUGUGAAGGUGUACUGUGAGGUAUGCUGGAGGUAUCAGAAGUGCGAAUGCUGACAUAAGUAACGAUAAAGCGGGUGAAAAGCCCGCUCGCCGGAAGACCAAGGGUUCCUGUCCAACGUUAAUCGGGGCAGGGUGAGUCGACCCCUAAGGCGAGGCCGAAAGGCGUAGUCGAUGGGAAACAGGUUAAUAUUCCUGUACUUGGUGUUACUGCGAAGGGGGGACGGAGAAGGCUAUGUUGGCCGGGCGACGGUUGUCCCGGUUUAAGCGUGUAGGCUGGUUUUCCAGGCAAAUCCGGAAAAUCAAGGCUGAGGCGUGAUGACGAGGCACUACGGUGCUGAAGCAACAAAUGCCCUGCUUCCAGGAAAAGCCUCUAAGCAUCAGGUAACAUCAAAUCGUACCCCAAACCGACACAGGUGGUCAGGUAGAGAAUACCAAGGCGCUUGAGAGAACUCGGGUGAAGGAACUAGGCAAAAUGGUGCCGUAACUUCGGGAGAAGGCACGCUGAUAUGUAGGUGAAGUCCCUCGCGGAUGGAGCUGAAAUCAGUCGAAGAUACCAGCUGGCUGCAACUGUUUAUUAAAAACACAGCACUGUGCAAACACGAAAGUGGACGUAUACGGUGUGACGCCUGCCCGGUGCCGGAAGGUUAAUUGAUGGGGUCAGCGCAAGCGAAGCUCUUGAUCGAAGCCCCGGUAAACGGCGGCCGUAACUAUAACGGUCCUAAGGUAGCGAAAUUCCUUGUCGGGUAAGUUCCGACCUGCACGAAUGGCGUAAUGAUGGCCAGGCUGUCUCCACCCGAGACUCAGUGAAAUUGAACUCGCUGUGAAGAUGCAGUGUACCCGCGGCAAGACGGAAAGACCCCGUGAACCUUUACUAUAGCUUGACACUGAACAUUGAGCCUUGAUGUGUAGGAUAGGUGGGAGGCUUUGAAGUGUGGACGCCAGUCUGCAUGGAGCCGACCUUGAAAUACCACCCUUUAAUGUUUGAUGUUCUAACGUUGACCCGUAAUCCGGGUUGCGGACAGUGUCUGGUGGGUAGUUUGACUGGGGCGGUCUCCUCCUAAAGAGUAACGGAGGAGCACGAAGGUUGGCUAAUCCUGGUCGGACAUCAGGAGGUUAGUGCAAUGGCAUAAGCCAGCUUGACUGCGAGCGUGACGGCGCGAGCAGGUGCGAAAGCAGGUCAUAGUGAUCCGGUGGUUCUGAAUGGAAGGGCCAUCGCUCAACGGAUAAAAGGUACUCCGGGGAUAACAGGCUGAUACCGCCCAAGAGUUCAUAUCGACGGCGGUGUUUGGCACCUCGAUGUCGGCUCAUCACAUCCUGGGGCUGAAGUAGGUCCCAAGGGUAUGGCUGUUCGCCAUUUAAAGUGGUACGCGAGCUGGGUUUAGAACGUCGUGAGACAGUUCGGUCCCUAUCUGCCGUGGGCGCUGGAGAAUUGAGGGGGGCUGCUCCUAGUACGAGAGGACCGGAGUGGACGCAUCACUGGUGUUCGGGUUGUCAUGCCAAUGGCACUGCCCGGUAGCUAAAUGCGGAAGAGAUAAGUGCUGAAAGCAUCUAAGCACGAAACUUGCCCCGAGAUGAGUUCUCCCUGACUCCUUGAGAGUCCUGAAGGAACGUUGAAGACGACGACGUUGAUAGGCCGGGUGUGUAAGCGCAGCGAUGCGUUGAGCUAACCGGUACUAAUGAACCGUGAGGCUUAACCU